GGGUGCGAUCAUACCAGCGUUAAUGCAUCAGAUCCCAUCAGAACUCGACAAUUAAGCGCGCUUGGGCUAGAGUAGUACUGGCAUGGGUGACCUCGCCGGAAUUCCUAGUGUUGCAUCCU
rnacentral:rRNA from 1 species